rnacentral:rRNA from 2 species
CACACCUGUUCCCAUGUCGAACACAGCAGUUAAGCUCUCCAGCGCCGAUGGUAGUUGGACUGACGUCCCGCAAGAGUAGGACGCUGCCA